rnacentral:rRNA from 1 species
AUGUGGAGGAGCCUCGUGGCCGACGCUUCGUUCCUCCGCCGCCGCUGGCCGGACAACUCGCCCCAUCCGUCCUCGCUCCUCGGGUUCUUCCCCAGCAACUGGCAAAUCCAUCGUGCAAUCAUGGAGCACGUUCCUAGGGGACCACGGUCGGCGUCGUCCGGCCUCCUCUGUCGACCCCUCGGAUCCUUGCCCCCCAAAAUCGACGGCCUCUUCGACCGCGCGAAGCCUCUUGCCUCACGCUGCGGUCUCCUCCUCCUGCAGUUCGUCCCGCGCCACGCCCGCGACCACCACUCGCCCCCGACCUUCAUCCACUUCGCCGUGUGCAACCUGCUUGCCGGCUCGUGGGAGGUGCUUCCCCCACUGCGGCGCAAGUCGAUCUACGACGGCGUCGAACUGGAGGGCUCUUGCAUUCUAGCAGCGACGGACUUGUGCUCCGGCGGGCAACAGCAGCGGCAGCCACUGCGGGGCUUCUCGGCCUUAUUCAAAGUGCUACUCAUCGGCGGCAGCUACGAUGGAACGCGCCACUACCUCUACACGUUCUCCUCCGAUCAGCCGAGCUGGAGUGCGCCCAGCAGCUUCCUGGACUGUGUGAAGCACCACAAUGGCUUAACGAUGGCCCAGCAGAGCGCCAUCGUGCAACGGGGCACGGCGCAUUGGCUCUGGUGGGACUUUUCAGACAUGUACAGCGUCGACGUGAACGCCGAGACCGGCCGAUCCUCCUUGGCGAAUCUUCGCGUCCCCGUUGGAGCACGCUACUACUUCCUCCCUUACAGUACGCCGAAACUUACCGUCGGCGUCGACGGGGCACUCCAGCUAGUCCGCCUACACAUCGAAGGUCUCUAG